rnacentral:rRNA from 1 species
AGCAGCCGCGGUAAUUCCAGCCCCAAUAGCGUAUAUUAAAGUUGUUGCAGUUAAAAAGCUCGUAGUUGAAUUUCGGGAUCAAUAUUUCGGUCAUGCCGUUGGUAUGCACUGUUAUCAUUGAUUUCUCACCUUCUAAAGAACCGUAAUGCCAUUAAUUUGGUGUUACGGGGAAUUAGGACUGUUACCUUGAAAAAUUAGAGUGUUUAAAGCAGGCUCACGCUUGAAUACAUUAGCAUGGAAUAAUGAAAUAGGACAUCCGAUUCUAUUUUGUUGGUUUCUAGGAUCGAUGUAAUGAUUAAUAGGGAUAGUUGGGGGCAUUAGUAUUCAAUUGUCAGAGGUGAAAUUCUUGGAUUUAUUGAAGACUAACUACUGCGAAAGCAUUUGCCAAGGAUGUUUUCAUUAAUCAAGAACGAAAGUUAGGGGAUCGAAGACGAUCAGAUACCGUCGUAGUCUUAACCAUAAACUAUGCCGACUAGGGAUCGGAUGAUGUUUAAUUUUUAAUGACUCA